rnacentral:rRNA from 1 species
AGAGGGGGCAAGCGUUAUUCGGAAUUAUUGGGCGUAAAGGGCGCGUAGGCGGUUUUUUAAGUCAGAUGUGUAAUCCCCGAGCUUAACUUGGGAACUGCAUCUGAGACUGGAAGGCUAGAGUACUGGAGAGGGUGGUGGAAUUCCUCGUGUAGCGGUGAAAUGCGUAGAGAUGAGGAGGAACACCAGUGGCGAAGGCGGCCACCUGGACAGUAACUGACGCUGAGGCGCGAAAGUGUGGGUAGCAAACAGGAUUAGAUACCCUGGUAGUCCACGCUGUAAACGAUGAACACUUGGUGUGGAGGGAGUUGACCCCUUCCGUGCCGGAGCUAACGCGUUAAGUGUUCCGCCUGGGGAGUACGGUCGCAAGGCUG